UCUCAAUAUUAUGACCAAAAAACGUGUCACAAUGUUAAAUCAGAUGCUACCCUUGUACAUUAAGAGGCAUCUCCACAAACUGAAAAAAAAACCCUUCACCAAACCAAAAACCGGAAGAAGAAGAAGAAGAAGAAGAAGAAAAAAAAGAAUGUAAAAGCACCUUAACGUUUCGGUUUUCUAAUGGAAAUUUGUAUAUGUUUUUGAUAUGGAGCAUGGAUUUAUUUGCUAUGCUUCUGAACACUGAAACCAAUCAAGUUAUUUGUGGAGAGGGAGUGGACCUAGGGUUUAGCAUGCAAGGUUUUACAGAGAACGAUGAUGAUCUUCCAUGUUCUGAUCUUUGGGAAGUUUGAAGAAGGAAGCAAGUUAUCUAUGUGAGUGGGAAGCAAAGGACACUAAAUCACAAACAAAGCUUUGUCAUAAAAACUUAGAAUCCAACAGUCUUAUGUUCUUGUCUCCUUAGAAUCCAAGGACCCGGAGUAGUAAGAGCCUAUAGAACAGGUCAUGUUCAAGUAAUACUAUCAUUGUUUUUUUUAUGUAACUCUCGCUUUGGAAUCUAUUUACCAAUCAAAGCAGCUCUGGUGGUGUUACAAUUUCAACAAGCUAGGGCCCACUUUGAGCUUUUCAUGGUUGGUAAGAUUUUACAGGUGACAUUGUAAAUAUGUUUCUAAAGUACCUUUUUUUUUUUCUUUCUAAUUCAGUGGUAGUUAGCAGUAGCAAAUGCAUUUCUUAAACCAAGUUUAAGUUGUCAUGUUGAGAUUUUCAAUUGUUGUUAGAUUGGUUUUUUAGUUAUUAAAUUUAGUGAAGCCACUGUCUUUGUGCUGAUUGUUGUCAUCAGAACAAUAUAUGUUUUGGGUCAAAAGAUGAAACUGAUCCGUCCCUGCUAUUUUCAUGUCAAUGUUUGGACGAAUGCUGUACUAUAUUGGAUCAUAUAAAGGUGUUAGUUUAGCUUCAGGUCAGGAUUUAUAUAGCCGUCAGCUUAUCCUAGACCCAUCGUCUUUCACGAUUCUAUCAGCGCUGUCUUUGUUCCAAAGACUUUCCAGUGACGGGCUUUAGAUGUUUAUUCAUUGUAGAGGUCAAGUAGGUAUCUGACUAAAGUCUCACAUCGUUUAAUGCGUAAAAGAAAUUAAUCUGUUCAAAUAUAAAAUGAAAGGACCUCUAUCUAUGCAACUUACGGAGCCGUGUGAUGAUGACAUGGCAAACUAUUCUUUCUCCUUUUACUAAAGAAUACCGUGUUAGUGUCACUAUUAGCGGCAUACGCUAGUUUUUGGAAGAGCCCUCUUCGUUGAAAACUCUGCAAUUUUAGUUUAAGUUUCUGUUUGGAUGUCUUGAUUUUUGGUAUGUCUCGCUAUUUUUAUUAUGCAUGACUAAAAUUUAAAGUUAAUAGGGAACAAGCAUCACAAUGAGUUCCAUUUUGUAGUAUUAUAAAAAACAUUAACCUCAUACUUGUCCCUCAAUGUUGACUUACUCUCUAAUGCGAACUUAUCUGCAAAUGAUGUUAUAUUGAGUCGCCGAUUGGAAAACAUGAUCGAAAAAUCGCGAUGAACCCAUAUGCCGAUGAACCCUAAUAGCAAGACGAACCCUAAUAGCAAGACGAUUCUCCUUCCAAUUUUGAUACUGAAACCAAGUUGAAACUAAACAAUGGCAGGUAUAAAACAUCAAUUUUAAUAUAAUAGAGUCAGUGAUAUGCACUUCAUUAGAAAAUUCUGCAAUGGCCUUUUUACCACCUGGGUAAUGUAACCAGUAUUGAAUUUAUACUAUUAUAUGUAGAAAGCAUGUCUAAAGUAGAGCAUAUGUGGUCAUUAGGACCAUUAUAAAAAAUUCAUAAAUCUAAUUUUCUGACUACAGAACAGUACGGAACAGAUUUGAUACAUUGUGUGGAGCUCACUUUCACUGUACAAGCCGGAUCCACACCGUGUGAGGCAACAUCUGCUCCUCCUUUCAAUCUGUUGGACUUAAGCAUUGCCAUUAAUGCUCAGUAUUCCUCUACAGUAAGAUUUUCAAUUUGUUUCUGUUCAGCAUCCCCAAGUGCAUUUGCUUCUAAAUUAUCUACUUCAACCGUGUAGGAUUUCUGAAUUGAAAGCUGGUCGGAAAGCCGUGAUUUUUUGUAGAAAACAUCCACCAUGUAUGAACACAUCUUAGAAUUUUCUCUCGAUGAGAUCAACCAAAAUUUCGACUAGAUCCCUGAUUCAAUCUUCUGCCAUCAGCGGCAUUAACAAUCAGAUGCAGAUCUUUAAUGUCAAUUCAUCCAAGCUAUUUUGUCUCUCAUCUCUAAUGCAUGUUUUUAACGAAACUAUAUUUUCUGGUGCUUUUUGUACUUGGUCAUUACGUCCCCGAGGUCGUCCUUUAGGACCUCAGAGGCAUAGGAAAUUUAAUUUUGUCCGUGCUCUUUUUUACUAAUACAAAAUAAGGUGUAUCUUCAUAGACCAUUGCUGACUUGAUUAAUUGGAUGAUAAUGAUUUGUUAUCUGUUAAUUACUGGUGUUCUGGAGUUUGGUAUAUUCACAAUUGCAAAGGGGAGAUAUUAUUUUGAAUGUUGUUGAAAUUUAUGGCUUCUAGCAUGAUAUUUUGUGACGUGCUUUGAAAAUCAUAAUCAUAUGACCAAGCAUGUGUGAUUUUACACAAAUGGGAUAGUGUAAGAGACUGUUUUGAAAUUUGUGAAGUGAUGUACAACUAGUUUUUAAAUUCUAUUAGCUGUCUCCUUUCCAGAGAAACUGUUUCUUUUAAUACUCUCAGGUGAAAUAUGAUGUUUGGAAGUUAGCUCAGUUUGUAUACUUGAUAUGCUUUAACAAUUUGGUGGGGGCUCUGCAAUGAAGAGUACUAUAGUUUUUCAUUGGUGUUUUUGAAUGAAAUAUGUUAAGCCUAACAGUUUACUUACAGUGCAUGCAUAACACUAAGGUGAAUCCUCUUUUGUCUUCUACAGGAUUGUUUUGUAUGCUAUAGCCAUGGUAGGUUUUGAUCAUGAAAAUGGUGAGGUCUGUAAAGACUCACUUAAAACAAAAGAUGGAACAGAUCAUUGGGUCAUACAGCUCCUCGGUUGAAAGGUGAGUUAUUAUUCAUGUGCUGUAUUUGCAUUGAAAUUCAAUUCUGCUAGAUUUGGGAUACUUUUGUAUUUAAAGGUAGUGGGUAUCAGACUGAAGUCCCACAUCGUCUACUGCAUAAAAGAAACUAUAGUGUUUACAUAUAAAAUGCAAGGACCUCUUACAUUUUCAAUUACGGAGCCGUGUGAUGAUGACAUAGCGAACUAUUCUUUCGCCUUUUACUAAAGAAUACCGUGUCAGCGUCACAAUUAGCGGCAUACGCUAGUUUUUGGAAGAGUCCUCUUCGUUAAGGGCUCUGCAAUUUUAGUAUAAGAUUGUGUCUUUUUUUAUCACUACAUUUUCUUGUAUCUCUAAUUGGGAUAAUUUUUACUCUAGAUAUAAGUGGUUCUUUCAACACCCACAAAUGAAAUGCGAUUGUUUAAGGAUUAUUUAGUGGAUUGAGUUGGGUAAGGUAUAAGAGGAUUAUUUAGUGGAUUGAGAUGGUUAAGGUAGAAGAAUGAACAAACAAAUAAAACGAAACAUCUUUACCAAACUGAUUUGAUACCUUGUGUUGAGGUCAUUGUAGAAGCCUGAUUCACACUGUGAGGCAACAGCUUCCCCUCCUUUCUCAUCUUUCAUGGCUUUAAGACAAAUUUAGAUGUCUACAUUUUGUUGAGCUAAGACAUCUUUCUCAUUUUCAUGGCCUGAUUCACACUAUUUUGUAGUUUUUUCACUCCUUCUCUGAAUACUGUAUUGAAUGAAAAUUGCAAACAUAAUCUAACUCACCAUUUAAUACCCCAUAUGAACUCUUGUCAUCAUCUUGUAGAUGAAUUAUUAGAAGGAAGUAAAUUUCAAGAACUUUGGUACUGGUUUGGUGACUGGGCUAUUUUACUACUGUAAUAUUUUCUUGUCUUAGUUUUUGAACCAGUUACAUCUCUUUUUCUCAACUUUAUUAAUUCUUUGCGGUUGUUUUAGUUGUUAGAUUUGUUUAUUUAUGGAAAAGAAUGAUGAGUGAAGACUUCAUGGUAAAAUUUCCUAGUCCCACACUGCUGAUGAGAGAAAUGAGAUGAUUUUGAAGUUAUAUAUAAAAUGAAGUUUAAUGUAUGACAAAACUAUCUUUGCGCUUGGGGCAAUGACGCAGCUAGUGAGGUUCUAACCGAGGCGCGUCUAUUGCUGGUUGAAAACUAUUUCCAAACCCCCUCUUAGGCUUGGGUUCAACUCAAGCCUUUGAGAAUUUCUGGAAGGACUCCCCUUUGGGGUAAAGUCCUACAAUUUUAGUUCAAAUUUUAUACCUCUCGUAAGUUUGUUAAAAGUAAAUACAAAAGAAUUAAAGUGGUGUUUUGCAAUCCACACAACAGAGUUUCUACCUUAACAUAUGAAAGGCUAUGGUAGUUCUUGAUAUUUAUGCAUGAUGAUGUUAGGGAAAAUAUUUGUUUGAAGUUACUUUGUCAACCACUUGGGUUUUUGUUAUAAAAUUCUUUUGCAAUUUUUCAAUAGAAACUUGUUUCAUUGAAGAAGACAUCCCCAAGCUGCAAAUAGACCAUAGCUAUAAGAAUCUCUUGCCAAUUUUGAUGCAGAAACAUUUAUUAAGACAAUAGAGUUAGUGAGAUGCACUUCAAUAGAAAAUUCUGCAAUGGCCUUAUUAUCAUCAGGUAAUUUAACCUGGUAUUGAGUGUAUCCACUUACAUGUAGAAAACAUGUCUAAAGUAGAGCAUAUGUGGUCAGUAGCACCACUGUCGUGUUCAAAGGCAUCGACGUCAGUCUCGUGUACAACACGAAUGACGGUUUGGAGACUCUUGCGAAGUGAUUUUUAGAGACGAGAACCUUUUCGUUUAAGGAAAAAAUCCAACACGAAUGACGGUAAGAUGAUUGAUAUGAAAGAUUGUGGAGUUGGAAUAAGAGAAUUUGCCUAACUAUUGUAGUUUUUGCAAAUGUAUUGGUCAUCAUUUUGAAAUGUGCAAGAGAAAAUGUGCUAUAGGUCAGGCUCAGCAAAGAUUUCAUCUCAGUUAAAUAACUGUUCUAAAAAAACAGGAUAAAGGAAAAAUGAGGAGAUCAUGGAACAAAAGAUUGCAUACAUUCACUUAUGAGAUUCCACGACUGCAAUAUUAUAAAUAGUUCAUCUAUUUGAAUCGUAAUGUGAUUUGGUGUGUAACAUGUUGAUCUAUUAAGUGAAUAUAGACUAUAAAUACAACUCCAACACUAAGUUUGGGGAAUAAAUAGGUCAUAGUUUAGAUUUAUAUUAUUAUUAUCUUUCACAAAAAGAAUGCCGACACGGACACUUAAAUGGUCUUCUUUUCCUUUCCCUCUUUAGAAUGAAUUAGUGUUAUGUUAUCUUAGUCCCACAUCGGAAUUGUCAGAGUGAAUAGUAUGGAUCCUCAAUUAUAAAAGAGAAGUGUGUGAUCCGUUGCAACAUACUUACCUGGAUGGGGUCAAUGGGUGAUCAAGAAGGCCCAUGGCCUAGGCAAGUGACCUCCAUUGCACUUAGGAGGGGUGCUAGCCUAAGGUCUACCCAAGUGGUGGAGCCUACAUCAUAAUUUGUUGCUGUGGGGGCUUGCGUUCGCGCAGCCCCCUCCCUAUUCAGUUUCAAUGUUUGUUCUUUUGGUAGGAGGUCAGUUUCAAUUUUUGUUCUUUUGGAAGGAGUUUCAAUUUUUGUUCAUUUGGAAGGUGUAAUCUUGAUCUCGUGUUUUGUAAGUUUUUUUUAAGGAAAUUUAAGGAUGAUCCCCUCCCUAUUCAGUUACAAUUUUAUUUUUUUUGUAAGGACCAUGUAGGAAUGCUCUUUUUCAUCUGCAUUACUUCAGUCCACAAAUGGAGAUUUCAUCAAAUUUAAAAGGCAACAGUAUAUUGGAGGUUAAUGUGGAGUUAUGAACAUAUUUCUUUAGCAAAUUGGGGACUUUGAUAUAGUCGCAAAGUAUGCUACUCGAUGAAAAUUCUAAGUUAUAUAAAUAAAUAUCUCAUCAAACUGAGUUUUUGCAUCAUUGAUGUAGCUUAGGUGAUAGUUUUGGGAUAAAGUUAGCAUAGAUUUUUCAUUGCACAUGAAUGGGUAUUGUAGUGCAAAUAUUGUGUGCAAUGUAUUAGUCUCAUGCCUCUUUUGUUGGCACAUCUUGUUCUUUAGCGUUAGUAAGAUCUCUUUGCAUUUUGAAGAAAAAUUGUUUGUGUUGCAUCUACUCUUUUAUAUAGUACUGAUAGAUAACUGCAGGGUUAGAGGAAAUAUUCGUUGGUAGCUACUUUUCCAACCACUUACGUUUUUGUAAGAAAAUUCUUAUGGUAACAUGUUUCAAAGAGUGUUAGACCGACAGAUCAUCUUAAGGUAGCAUGUUUCAGAGUGUUAGACUUGACGGAUAACACAGAUGUAAACAAAUAACAGAAGUAAAAAUAGAUUUAGUAGAUGCACUAGAAAAGGUGCCAUCACUAUAUUAUACACAUCCAUAGAGUCAAUUUUAAUACAUGUCACUUUCCAACCUUAAAGUGUCAUGUUUCUUCUAAUGGUCCCGUUUCAAUGGCUAAAUCAAGUGCUAAUCCUAGAACAAAACACAAGUUUGCAAGCGACAAAAUGAUCAGAUAAAGCUGAAAUCCACCAGAAAGAAGGAAACUCUAAAUUUUAUUAUAAUGAAAGAAAAUCUUUAAGACUACGCCACCAAAGGUCUUUAAAUACAGAAAAAACAAAGAAAUCAUAACGGACAUUUAAUCCAAAAGAGAAUUAAAUAAAUAAAAUAAAACGUGAAAAAUAGUAAAAUGCUAUAAAUAAAUAAAACAAAACGUGAAAAAUAGUAAAAUGCUAAAUUUGAGCCUGAAACAAAUUUGAAUGACUUAAAAAGACCGUAGGUCACGGCCAUACUGUCAACUGGACUCAUUAGCCGAUUUCCUAUCCGAAAAGGUAUAAUAAUAAUUAUUCUGAUAUCGGACACCAAACUUGCACAAUUCUUGUGGAACCUAUCCGACGCGCGACUUCCUCUUCGAUAUGCGCAUUCAGCCUUCCUGCAUCAGUCUCCUCCACCUCUAAAGAACUCGACCCCGAGUUCUCUUGAUAAAGAAUCUCGCCUGCAUGAUAUUCGUGAAUGUCAGCAACAUUGAAAGUAUUGGACAUAUUCAUGAACUCUAGGAGAGUUACCACAUAAGCAUUAUCAUUGAUCUUCCCGGUCACUUUGAACGAGCCACCUUUACGUGGCUACAACAUGUUGUAAGUACCAACCCAAAACCUCUCUUUUUGCGCAGAAACACCAUCACAUAGUCUCCUACAUUGAAAACUUUGACUCUCUUGUGUUUGUCAGUAACUGCUUUAUUUUUCUGUCCACUAGCCUCUAAAUUUGCCUUGACAACUUCUUUAACAACUACCAUUUCUUCGGCCAUAUUCUUAGCUGUCGAACUAACUCCAGGCACCUUAGGAAACUUUACCAAAUCAACCACAUGCUUAGGAACAAAAGUAUAGACCAGAGAGAAUGGUGAUUUCCAUGUAGCUGAAUGCACAAUGCUGCUGUAAGCAAAUUCGACCUGAGGCAAAACUAAAUCCCACCGUUUCGCCUGUCACCUCAAACACUCCGAAAUCAUAUUUUCCAAAUUUUUGUUGGUUACCUCAUGAAGAUUAUCCAAAGAUGACUGGGAAAUUUGGCGUCCUUGUCUGAAAUAAUGGAUGUAGGAACCCUAUGAAGACACAACCUUCCUGAAAAACAAUUUGGCUAUUUUGGAAGCACUAGUAAUCUUCUUACAAGAAUGAAACGUAUCAUUUUGAAGAAUCUGUUUACUACCACAAACACAAUCUACACCUCAAUGUGUUUGAGGAAAGCCCAACACAAAAUCAAUGGUAAAAUCUUGCCAAAUAUCAUCAGGAAUAGGUAAAGGCAUAUAAAGACCAGUAUUUUGAGAUUGUCCUUUAUAAACGUGACAAGUAUAACACCUUCUGACUAUAGCACCAACGUUCUUCCUCAAGUGUGGCCAAUAAUACCUCUCUUUUAGACUAGCAAUGGCUUUGUCUCUACCCUGAUGACUACUAAGACCACCACCAUGUAGAUCUCGAAUUAACUUCUCUCUUAAAGAUGAGCAAGGAAUGCAUAGACGAUCCUCUUUAAAAAGAUAGCCAUUUCAAAUGUGAAAAUCUGCACAAGGAUGUUAUCCAUUACAUUUGGGUCAUAACUCCUUGAACUCAACAUCAUUUUCAUAAAACUCUUUCAGGCACUCAAAUCCUACUAUUUCUUACGCUAAGAUAAUUAGCAAGAAAAUCCUCAUACUCAAUGCAUCAUGUACCUUGUUAAGAGCCAUCGACUUAUGUUGAAUAAUAAUAAAAAAAUCCGCAGAAAACUCACCCACCGAGCAUGCAUCUUGUUUAUCACCUUUUGGCUACGAAGAAACUUCAAAUCUUGAUGGUCUAUGAAUAAAUGAACUCCUUAUUAACCAAAUAAUGUUCCAACUAGCGUAGAGCUCUAAAGAUUGCAUAAAAUUCCCGAUCACAAGUACUCCAAUCCUUGGAUGAGGUCAAUCUGAUGUUGAAUAUCUCAUAUGGGAGACAAAUUGUUUGGUAAUUCCUUUGCAGUCAACUCCUUGAAAUCCUCAAGGAUCUCUAGCACUUCUUCUGGAAUCAUUGUUUCCUCCUUUACAACAUUCCUCAACCCUUUUAUCACCACCGGACAAAAACGUUAAGUUUCUUUUACAACCUCAUCAAGCUCUUUUUGACUCUACAUCACCACCAAGAAACUAGACUUCUCUCCUCUUGGAUUCUUAUUAAAGUGCAAAACAUGAGCCAUAUCAAUUUUAUGUGUGCCCCAUGUAAACAUCACCAUGUUAUCUAGCCCUUGAUAAGUGACAUCAUUAUCAAACUUCUUAGGUCAACCAAGUAAAAUAUGACAAACAUCCAUAUCAAGAACAUCACAAAGUACUUCUUCUCUUUAAUGCUUUUCGAUGGAGACAGAGACUCUACACGCCAGUGUUACUCGAACUUGGGAGCCCUUGCUUACUCAACCAAAGGUGUAUACCUUCUCAUGGGGUUAUGUGGAUAAAUUUAAAUAAUCUACAAAUUUCCGCGACACCAGAUUCUUCGUGCUGCCAUUAUCCACGAUUAGAUUACACACUUUAUUCUUGAUAGAACAAUGUGUUUUGAGCAAAUUCUUGUGAUGUCCUUCAUCUUUGUAUGCUAGUAAAAUUGUCGGCAACACAAAAUUUACCCUCUCGUCAGAUUAUUCUUCGGCAAACUCAAUCUCGACAUAUUCAUUAUUCUGAACUGCAGGAUCUUCUCUUUCCUCAUAUUCCUCCCUUUCUCCCAUAACAACGACGACUCUCCUUGUUGGACAAACAUUCGAUCUAUAGCCUCUUCCAUUACAAUGAUAACACGUGUCUCCAGUGGGUUUAGCAUAUGGAUUAUUCUGCCUCUGGAUUGAUGCUUUACCCUAAUGCACACCGCUAGAUCUGCUAGCCCCCUUAUUCCCAAGGUUCAAAUCCCGAGGUGUUGAACUCUUUUUCUUAUCACUUGCUAAUUCAAAGUUAUUAUGGGGUGAGUGCCUUCUAAAAGUCGAGAAAUUUCAUAGGAAUUUCUCCAUCAACUCUACCUUCAAAGCUAAAUUGGAUGCCUCAGUUAUGGUCCAUAUAGUAUGUAACCCCAUCUUCUCCUACAAUGAUCCCUUUAAGCCACUGAUGUAUCAAGUCCACUUUGUGGCGACGCUUUUGCUCAAGCGGUCACUUAUGUUGGUCUACUAGAAGAUUGAGGUGUAAUUCAUCUAGAUUAAUAACAAAGAAUUUUUAGUCAGUAUGGCGGAACUUUUGUAAUUUCUUCAAACAAAAAUUCAUGGAACAUUAAAGCAAAGGUUAUUCGUCUUUAGAAACUUUCAAAUUUUAAUCGCCAUGCCUCUUGUUUUUCUAUUAAAAUGAUGUUGUUGGAUUCAAAUGAUGGUAGAGCUCACGCUACCACUAAAAAACCUUUGAUUUACAAAUACAUUUCUUCAUCAAGCUCCCAAGUAGGGUUCUCAAACCAUUCUUUGUUUCUUAGGUAGUCUCACAAGUAUGGUUCUUCAGCAAUGAAUUCAUCUCAUCAUUUAUUGCCAUCAACCCUCUUUGACUAUUUUUGCUUUUGAAUGCUUCUUUGAAGGUUUUUGGUUUUAAAUCUUGCAAUCCUUCAGCCACAUCAAAGCAUAACAAAUAAGAUCAACAUAAUUAUACAUACGAAGUGGUACAAUCUCACUCCUAACUCUAUCACGAGUAGGGGUGUUCGCGGUGCGGUUUGGUUCGGUUUUGAGCAUAAAAGUCAUCCUAACCGCGAGAUAAAAAUGCAUGCGGUUCGGUUUGGUUCGGUUAAUUUUUAAAAAGUCAUCCAAACCAAACCAAACCAAACCAAUGCGGUUAGGAUCGGUUCGGUGGGCUGCGGUUUACACCAUAAAAUAAAAAUGUACUGAAAUAAAAAAAGGAAAAUAAUUCAUUCUUCCAUACAUAUAUUACAUAUAUUACAGUACCAUUAAAAAUAAGUUUUUCAUACUAAUUACACCAAAAUAAUUCAUUCCUCCAUACAUGUAUUUUACACAAAAAUUACUACCAUAUAAGUGUUUCAUGUAUUUUACAGUACCAUACUAUGUAUUUUACAUAUACUACAUAC